AGGGGCUUAGUAUAAUGGUAGUACCGCAGCUUCCAAACCUGCUUGCACGGGUUCGAUUCCUGUAGCCCCUGCCA
rnacentral:tRNA from 1 species